CUGCUCCGCUUGGGGAGCCUCCCACCCGCGCCGCCUCAGGCAUCUGGGCUCCGGGCCGCGGCUUCCUACCCGUGUGAGCAUCUGCCAUCGAUUUCAGUAUUAUGCAAGGAGAGUAAUGGAAUUUAUCCGGGACAGUUAUGAAUCAACGUUGUAUGGAUCAAAAUACAGUAGACCCUCAGAGUUAUGAACGCAAAGGUUACAAACUGACCAGUCAACCACACACCUCAUUUGGAACCAGAAGUAUGCAAUCAGGCACAAAGACAAGAUUUCAGGAGUAAUCCCAAACAGGAGGUGAAAGACUCACUGUGACGAUCAAUGCUAUUAUGUUCACCACUUUUACAAGACUAGGAUAAAUGUACAAAGGAUGCCUUGUGAGGUAUCAUUUGAAAACUCAUCAUGUGCUGAACAUUAUUGUCCUGGUAAAAUAAGUGCAUCAAUAUUGUAUGUGAAGUAAUAAGCUUCUGCCGUAUAGCAUUGUUAUAACAUGCUCCAAGAUUAAGAAAAGCAGGCCCAAACCAAUUUUUCAGAGACAAAGACACGAUGACACCCCACUAGGUGUUAAAGGGCUAUCAGCUACUUACACAGCCAUUCUCCAGCAACAGGAAGGUGUGAAUAAGAAAUUUACAUUCCAUCACAGGGACAGGUCAGACCUCACAAGAGACUACUUGUCACCUGCACCCCAGCUGGGGGUAAUCCUCAAAGAGAGCAGGGUGGUAUAGGAAUGAGAGACAGUGCCCUCCAAUUUGCCUCUUUUCUCUUAAAUGCACACCUUACAUUUUAAAAUGAGGGUUUGUUUGGUAGAUUUUAGCUAAAUAAGAACAUUUUAGCUAAAUAAGGACAUUGGUUCAGACCAAUGGUCCAUCUAGCCCAAGAGUUCUCAAACUGGGGGUCAGGACUCCUCAGGGGGUCGUGAGGUUAUUACAUGGGGAGUCGCGAGCUGUCAACCUCCACUCCAAACCCCACUUGCCUCUAGCAUUUAGAAUGGUGUUAAAUAUAUUAAAAGUGUGCUUAAUUUAUAGGGUGGAGGGGAGGGUCGCACUCAUAGGCUUGCUGUGUGAAAGGGGUCACCUGUAAAAAAGUUUGAGACCCACUGAUCUAGCCCAAUAUCCUGUCUCCAACAGUGGCUAGCAACAGAGCUUCAUGGAGGAGUGCACAAAACGGGAUGGUUCCAACAGUCCAAGGUAUAAGGUUGCCUAGAGCCAGCCAUUGAUAGACUUAACCUCCAUGAACUUAUCCAAUUCUUUUUAAACAGACACGUAUAGCACUCAUGACAUUCCUGUUCAUCUCUGGCACAAGGCAAGAAAAGAUCUAGCCAAGACUAAAGCUGAAUACAUCACAUACAGAAAGAUGAUGGCCAAGAGGUGCUUUAAUUCAGAUUACUCCAUUUAACAAGAGUGGACCCACUGAGCCACAGAAAAUGGGAGAUGCUUUUGUGAAAUAAAUCUGGCAUAUGUUAAAAUGCUUCUUAGAUUACAGGUUUCAGAAAAGCGGCCUGCCCAAGUAAACUGAUUUUUUUUAAAUCAAA